AGGAUAAACGCUGGCGGCGUGCCUAACACAUGCAAGUCGAACGUCCUACGCAAGUAGGGAGUGGCGGACGGGUGAGUAACACGUGGGCAAUCUACCUUUCGGUGAGGAAUACCGGCGAGAAAUCGCCGACAAUACCGCAUACGCUUCGCAAGAAGCAAAGUCGCAAGACGCCGGAGGAGGAGCCUGCGCCCGAUUAGCUCGUUGGUGGAGUAAUGGUCUACCAAGGCGACGAUCGGUAGCUGGUCUGAGAGGAUGAUCAGCCACACUGGGAUUGAGAACGGCCCAGACUCCUACGGGGGGCAGCAGUGAGGAAUUUUCGUCAAUGGGGGAAACCCUGAACGAGCAACGCCGCGUGCAGGAAGACAUCCCUUGGGAUGUAAACUCCUUUCGAUCGGGAAGAUAAUGACGGUACCGGAAGAAGAGCCCCGGCUAACUUCGUGCCAGCAGCCGC
rnacentral:rRNA from 1 species